CCUACGGGUGGCAGCAGUGAGGAAUAUUGGUCAAUGGACGAGAGUCUGAACCAGCCAAGUAGCGUGAAGGAUGACUGCCCUAUGGGUUGUAAACUUCUUUUAUAUGGGAAUAAAACGUUCCACGUGUGGGAUUUUGUAUGUACCAUAUGAAUAAGGAUCGGCUAACUCCGUGCCAGCAGCCGCGGUAAUACGGAGGAUCCGAGCGUUAUCCGGAUUUAUUGGGUUUAAAGGGAGCGUAGGUGGAUUGUUAAGUCAGUUGUGAAAGUUUGCGGCUCAACCGUAAAAUUGCAGUUGAAACUGGCAGUCUUGAGUACAGUAGAGGUGGGCGGAAUUCGUGGUGUAGCGGUGAAAUGCUUAGAUAUAACGAAGAACUCCGAUUGCGAAGGCAGUUCACUGGACUGCAACUGACACUGAGGCUCGAAAGUGUGGGUAUCAAACAGGAUUAGAUACCCCAGUAGUC
rnacentral:rRNA from 1 species